rnacentral:lncRNA from 1 species
AGCUGAUAUAGUUAGUUCAUUAGACUUAUGUAGGUUAUAUUUGUAUUUUAACAGGACCAGAAUAUCUUCAUAUUAUAUUAAUCUGGUGAUGUUUCCAAACAGGAGAUAGACCUUUGUACCAUAUACAUGGUAAGAUCAGUGUUACAUGUAUAUUUAGUUUACUGUAUUGUCUGUGUUUGUCUAUUUAAUUUUAGUUCAGUAUAUGUAUUGUUUGUGUCUUGUGAAUAGUAGUUACCUGUAUGUCAAUUAUUACAUGUAAACAUUAUAGUAAGAAAUUGUAGUUCAUUCAUAAAUCUAUGAAU